rnacentral:rRNA from 1 species
GACGAACCGUGCGAACGUUAUUCGGAAUCACUGGGCUUAAAGGGUGCGUAGGCGGGCUCGUCAGUCAGGGGUGAAAUCCCACGGCCCAACCGUGGAAGUGCCUCUGAUACUGCGGGCCUCGAGGGGGAUAGGGGCGUGCGGAACUCAGGGUGGAGCGGUGAAAUGCGUAGAUAUCCUGAGGAACACCGGUGGCGAAAGCGGCGCGCUGGAUCCCUUCUGACGCUGAGGCACGAAAGCCAGGGGAGCAAACGGG